AGAGUUUGAUCCUGGCUCAGGAUGAACGCUAGCUACAGGCUUAACACAUGCAAGUCGCAGGGUAACAUGAGGAAAGCUUGCUUUCCUUGAUGACGACUGGCGCACGGGUGAGUAACGCGUAUCCAACCUUCCCAUAACUACGGGAUAACCCGUUGAAAGACGGCCUAAUACCGUAUGAUAUCGUUUGCUGACAUCAAAUAACGAUUAAAGGUUUAGCGGUUAUGGAUGGGGAUGCGUCUGAUUAGCUUGUUGGCGGGGUAACGGCCCACCAAGGCGACGAUCAGUAGGGGUUCUGAGAGGAAGGUCCCCCACAUUGGAACUGAGACACGGUCCAAACUCCUACGGGAGGCAGCAGUGAGGAAUAUUGGUCAAUGGGCGAGAGCCUGAACCAGCCAAGUAGCGUGCAGGAUGACGGCCCUAUGGGUUGUAAACUGCUUUUAUGUGGGGAUAAAGUGCGUGACGUGUCAUGCAUUGCAGGUACCACAUGAAUAAGGACCGGCUAAUUCCGUGCCAGCAGCCGCGGUAAUACGGAAGGUCCGGGCGUUAUCCGGAUUUAUUGGGUUUAAAGGGAGCGUAGGCUGUCUAUUAAGCGUGUUGUGAAAUUUACCGGCUCAACCGGUGGCUUGCAGCGCGAACUGGUCGACUUGAGUAUGCAGGAAGUAGGCGGAAUUCAUGGUGUAGCGGUGAAAUGCUUAGAUAUCAUGACGAACUCCGAUUGCGCAGGCAGCUUACUGUAGCAUAACUGACGCUGAUGCUCGAAAGUGCGGGUAUCAAACAGGAUUAGAUACCCUGGUAGUCCGCACGGUAAACGAUGGAUGCUCGCUAUUCGUCCUAUUUGGAUGAGUGGCCAAGUGAAAACAUUAAGCAUCCCACCUGGGGAGUACGCCGGCAACGGUGAAACUCAAAGGAAUUGACGGGGGCCCGCACAAGCGGAGGAACAUGUGGUUUAA
rnacentral:rRNA from 1 species